rnacentral:tRNA from 7 species
GCGGGAAUAGCUCAGUUGGUAGAGCACGACCUUGCCAAGGUCGGGGUCGCGAGUUCGAGUCUCGUUU